UACCAUUGCACACUACACAUUAAUUUAUU
rnacentral:sRNA from 1 species